GACGUAGGGCGCGAGCGUUGUCCGGAUUUAUUGGGCGUAAAGAGCUCGUAGGCGGCUUGUCGCGUCGUCCGUGAAAACCUGCAGCUCAACUGCAGGCUUGCGGUCGAUACGGGCAGGCUAGAGUUCGGUAGGGGGAGACUGGAAUUCCUGGUGUAGCGGUGAAAUGCGCAGAUAUCGGGAGGAAUACCAGUGGCGAAGGCGGCUUCCUGGGCCUGUUCUGACGCUGAGGAGCGAAAGCGUGGGGAGCGAACAGG
rnacentral:rRNA from 1 species